rnacentral:rRNA from 1 species
GACGAACGCUGGCGGCGUGCUUAACACAUGCAAGUCGAGCGGUAAGGCCCUUUCGGGGGUACACGAGCGGCGAACGGGUGAGUAACACGUGGGUGACCUGCCCUCAGCUCUGGGAUAAGCCUGGGAAACCGGGUCUAAUACCGGAUAUGACUCCAUGACGCACGUUGUGGGGUGGAAAGCCUUGUGCGGCUGAGGAUGGGCCCGCGGCCUAUCAGCUUGUUGGUGGGGUGAUGGCCACCAAGGCGACGACGGGUAGCCGGCCUGAGAGGGCGACCGGCCACACUGGGACUGAGACACGGCCCAGACUCCUACGGGAGGCAGCAGUGGGGAAUCUUGCGCAAUGGGCGAAAGCCUGACGCAGCGACGCCGCGUGAGGGAUGAC